UUUCCGUAGGUGAACCUGCGGAAGGAUCAUUACAGUAGUCGCCCGGGUUGCUGCAAGGCCUCCCGGGUAACCUACCACCCUUUGUUUAUUACACUUUGUUGCUUUGGCAGGCCUGCCCUCGGGCUGCUGGCUCCGGCCGGCGAGCGCUUGCCAGAGGACCUAAACUCUGUUUGUCUAUACUGUCUGAGUACUAUAUAAUAGUUAAAACUUUCAACAACGGAUCUCUUGGUUCUG
rnacentral:misc_RNA from 1 species